GUAUUCUUGCCUGGAGAAUCCCAUGGACAGAGGAGCCUGGAAGUCUACAUUCCACGGGGUUGCAAAGAGUUGGACACGACUGAAAUGACUUAGCAGCAGCCCAAAUGGACGGAAACAACAGCUUUACCAGGAUCACAGGGAGCUCGCCAAAGGAAGGAGGCAUGCUCACCCUCAAUGCAGUGGGGCCACUGCUGGAGGUCACACGGUACUGCCCAGUAAUCAUGUAUGGAUGUGAGAGUUGGACUAUAAAGAAAGCUGAGCACUGAAGAAUUGAUGCUUUUGAACUCUGAUGUUGGAGAAGACUCUUGAGAGUCCCUAAAGGACUCUCAAGUACAUCCUAAAGGAAAUCAGUCCUGAAUGUUCACUGGAAAGACUGAUGCUGAAGCUGAAUACUUUGGCCACCUGAUGCAAGAACUGACUCAUUGGAAAAGACCAUGAUGCUGGGAAAGAUUGAAGGCAGGAAGAGAAGGAGAUGACAGAGGAUGAGAUGGUUGGAUGGCAUCACCAACUCGAUGGACAUGAGUUUGAGCAAGCUUCGGGAGUUGAUGAUGGACAGACAUCUCACCUGUGACCUGUAACCUAUGACUUCUGACCAUCGAACUGUGAUCCUUGAAACUGCAAGUGAAAGUGCAAGUCGCUCAGUUGUGUCCGACUCUUUGUGACCCCAUGGAAGAGGAAAAGACCCCAUGCUGCUGCCAAGUCACUUCAGUUGUGUCCGACUCUGUGCGACCCCAUAGACGGCAGCCCACCGGGCUCCCCCAUCCCUGGGAUUCUCCAAGCAAGAACACUGGAGUGGGUUGCCAUUUCCUUCUCCAAUGCAUGAAAGUGAAAAGUGAAGCACAGAUCUCAAUAAAGGCAGAUAGAGGCCGGAUUACAGAACCCUUAGAGUGAGCAUGGGGCCCUUAGAAAUGCUAAAUCAGUGGCUGGACACCAGAAUGUUGAAGGGUCAAAAUCUGAAGCCCAUCUUUAAGGGUGCCAGGUGUACAUGGCCUCCACAGAUUCUUACAACGGUACAUGUGGGGCGUAAAACAAAUACAACACUGGAAAUCAAUUCUAUCCCAAUGUAAGAUAAAAAUCAAGUUGAAAGGCAGAAAAAGGGGGAAUGAAGAAACGCUGCUGCUUGUGGCUCUUUCCCCUAAGAACAAUUUUAAAACCUGAGUUGAUGGGCACUUCGUACUCAUAAGGCCUGUGGGACUGUAAAAGACACCUGUCCUCAAGAGAUGUCCUAGGGUAAACCAUCGGGGAAAAUUCAAAACAGAGCUGACUUUUAAGAAGCUGGCUUCAAGAAGUAAAUUGUACUCACACUGUAUAAGAUUUUUUUAAAAAACACACGGAAAGACACUCCACUAACUAUUAAAUCAAUGCAAAUCAAAACUACAAUGAGUUAUCCCUUCAGACAGGUUAAAUUGGCCAUCAUCGCAAAGAUCUACAAAGAAUAAAUUCUGCAGACAGCAUAAAGAAAAGGGAAUCUUCCUGUACUUCUGGUGGGGUUGUAAAUGGGUCUAGCCACUAUGGAAAACAGUAGGCAGGUUCCCUAAUAAACUAACAUAGAGGUAUCAUGAUCAGCAAUCCCACUCCUGGGCUUAGAUCUGGAGAAAAUCGUAAUUCAAAAUGACACAUGCAUCCCUCUUUUCAGGGAAGUAUCAUUUAUAAGAGCCAAGACAUAGAAUCAACCAAAAAUGAAAGUGAAAGUCUCUCAGUCAGUCAUGUCUGACUCUGUGACCCCAUGGACUAUACAGUCCAUGGAAUUCUCCACGCCAGAAUACUGGAGUGAAUAGCCAUUCCCUUCUCCAGGGGAUCUUCCCAACCCAGGAUUGAACCCAGGUCUCCCAUGUUGCA
ensembl:lncRNA